UACGUAGGGUGCGAGCGUUGUCCGGAAUUAUUGGGCGUAAAGAGCUCGUAGGCGGUCUGUCACGUCGGAUGUGAAAACUCGGGGCUCAACCCCGAGCCUGCAUACGGUACGGGCAGACUUGAGUUCGGCAGGGGAGACUGGAAUUCCUGGUGUAGCGGUGAAAUGCGCAGAUAUCAGGAGGAACACCGGUGGCGAAGGCGGGUCUCUGGGCCGAUACUGACGCUGAGGAGCGAAAGCGUGGGGAGCGAACAGG
rnacentral:rRNA from 1 species